UACGUAGGGGGCUAGCGUUGUCCGGAUUUAUUGGGCGUAAGAGCGUGUAGGCGGCCAUGUAGGUCCGGUGUGAAAACUCGAGGCUUAACCUCGAGAUGUCAUCGGAAACCAUUUGGCUAGAGUCCGGAAGAGGAGAGUGGGAUUCCUGGUGUAGCGGUGAAAUGCGCAGAUAUCAGGAAGAACACCAAUGGCGAAAGCAGCUCUCUGGGACGGUACUGACGCUGAGACGCGAAAGCGUGGGGAGCGAACAGG
rnacentral:rRNA from 1 species